rnacentral:rRNA from 1 species
GUGGGGAAUAUUGCACAAUGGGCGAAAGCCUGAUGCAGCAACGCCGCGUGAAGGAUGAAGGCCUUUGGGUCGUAAACUUCUGUCCUUGGGGAAGAAAAAAAUGACGGUACCCCUGGAGGAAGUCCCGGCUAACUACGUGCCAGCAGCCGCGGUAAUACGUAGGGGGCGAGCGUUAUCCGGAAUUAUUGGGCGUAAAGAGUACGUAGGUGGUUUUUUAAGCGCAGGGUUUAAGGCGAUGGCUCAACUGUCGUUCGCCCUGUGAACUGGAAGACUUGAGUACAGGAGAGGAAAGCGGAAUUCCUAGUGUAGCGGUGAAAUGCAUAGAUAUUAGGAGGAACACCAGUGGCGAAGGCGGCUUACUGGACUGUAACUGACGCUGAGGCGCGAAAGUGUGGGGAGCAAACAGGAUUAGAUACCCCUGUAGUCC